UAGGGAAUCUUCGGCAAUGGACGAAAGUCUGACCGAGCAACGCCGCGUGAGUGAAGAAGGUUUUCGGAUCGUAAAACUCUGUUGUUAGAGAAGAACAAGGACGUUAGUAACUGAACGUCCCCUGACGGUAUCUAACCAGAAAGCCACGGCUAACUACGUGCCAGCAGCCGCGGUAAUACGUAGGUGGCAAGCGUUGUCCGGAUUUAUUGGGCGUAAAGCGAGCGCAGGCGGUUUCUUAAGUCUGAUGUGAAAGCCCCCGGCUCAAACGGGGAGGGUAAUUGGAAACUGGGAGACAUGAGUGCAGAAGAGGAGAGGGGAAUUCCAGGUGUAGCGGUGAAAUGCGUAGAUAUAUGGAGGAAAACCAGUGGCGAAGGCGGCUCUCUGGUCUGUAACUGACGCUGAGGCGAGAAAGCGUGGGGAGCAAACAGG
rnacentral:rRNA from 1 species